rnacentral:lncRNA from 1 species
UGGUAUGGGUUUGUACAAACACACAAUGACAUGUAGCCAUCAUUAUAAUAUCACAUAAAGUAUUUUCACUGUCCUAAAUAUCUUCUGUGCUACUCUUAUUCAUUUCUCCCCCCACUGAACAGUACUUGGUACUACUGACCAGACACGCCUUUGCUUUUUUUCCAAACUUUUAUUUCAGAGGAGGGAAAGGAGAAGAUGGAGAAGUAACUCAUUUCCUGGGAAGGAAAUACAUUUCUGUAGUUGGAUCCUCUGACGACUAUUGUCCCUUUAGGGCUGGUCCAUCUAGCACUGCCAAGAUGCACUGCCACCAUGGGUGCAGUGUUCCACAGAAAAUAGGAGUGGGAGAUCUUUUCUGAUUUCUUUUUGCACUCUAUUUAAAGGCUCUUAAUAUUCUAUACGUUUUUGCAUGAAUAGAUAAUGGUACUGUAGUAACAAAAAUGCUUUAUUGAUGAGUCUAUCAUGGCUGCCAACUCUGGCUCCAUUACUCAAGGUCAAGGAAACUGGUUGGCUCUUUUUUCCUUCAAGAAGUAUUCUCUCCCAGAGAAUUCCUAAGUUUCUCUAGAGGGACUUUCUUUUGGGCUUAUUUCUUCAUUCACCACUUGAACAAGUCUUUUGGAACAAAACCAGUGAACACAGUUUGAAUCCUCCUCUCAAAAGCUAUUUAGCCAACUUUUAAAUGGCCAGAGCAGCCUCUUUCACUAGUUUGUCUGGUGUGACCAGACAUGUCUGAAUACAGGGAAAUUCAUAACUGGACACCUAUUACUUAUCUCUUGAGAAAUUCUUUUUGUCUUUCUGUAAAUCUAAAGAAAGAACAUUAGCGUAUAAAAAUGGCUUACUGAAAAACUGUUACUUUUUCACUUAUACUGUAGUUUAGAUUUCAGAUAAAAAAAUCGAAUAUGGGAAGCAAAAGAAAAAAAAUGAAUGAAGAAGAAGAAUUCAUAGAUCAAAGCCUCAGUGACUUACAAAAAAGAUGCCUCAUAUCAUGAGGGUGACCUGGGAACCAGAGCUGACAUGCCCAAGUACUAGAAGACAUCAAUUCGAAGAAUCUCCAGCAGAUCCCCUUUGUAUGCAUUUAAUGUUGCAAAUGAUAUGUACUAAGCUUUAUAUUCAGAUAUAAAGCUUGGUGUGUUCUAAAUCCCUGGGGUAAAAGAGGAGCGUUCCUCAGAUAAUUAUUUUGUCUUUUAGCCAAAAAGGGAAGUGGGUUGAUCCUUGCAGAUUAAUAAUAAUGAUCUUGUUGGUUCCUGUUUUACAGGAUUUAUACCUUUGAUUCUUUAUUUUCUCUUGUCUAAAUUUUAUCAAUAUGUGAGCUGAUUUGCAUGUACUCUGAUAAACUAUAAAAAAUGGGCCUUCUUGAGGACCAUUACUUGGAACAUAUAGUAUGUGAUUGUUCAACUUAAUUUUAUCCAGACAGAUAGUAUCUCCUACCAGGUAUGACCUUGUAUACCAUGUAUAUUUGGUUUAAACAUUGGCCUUAUUCAAAGGUGUAUCUGCUUUUUGAUCUGAACUGUCUAGAUGCUGUUAAAUUGGAUUUGUACCCAAAUGUAACUGGCGAUUCUCCUGAAUGUCAUGUCUUUUAGAAGCACAUUACAGAAGCUAUGUUCAUGUCCUUGGUUAGAUGGUAAAAUAAUUACAAUCUAGAAACAGGCAACAUUUUAACAUCGUGUUCACUAAAUAGCUCUGCUGAGAGAAUUUUGUUUAUAUCAGGUGUAUCAGUAAUGUGUUAGAACCUACAUUUCGCCUGAAUGUAAGCAGAGAAGAAAUCUCUUGAUUAAAAAUAAGGUCCUUGGAGUUCCCGUCGUGGCUCAGUGGUUAACGAAUCUGACUAGGAACCAUGAGGUUGUGGGUUUGAUCCCUGGCCUUGCUCAGUUGGGUUAAGGAUCUGGUGUUUCCAUGAGCUGUGGGGUAGAUUGCAGACCCAGCUUGGAUCCCACGUUGCUGUGGCUGUGGUGUAGGCCGGCAGCUGUAGCUCCAAUUAGACCCCUAGCCUAGGAACCUCCAUAUGACACAGGAGCGGCUCUAGAAAAGGCAAAAAGACCAAAAAAAAUAAAUAAAUAAAUUUAAAAAAUAAAAAUAAGGUCCUAAUUUUGAAGAAGGCAUAAUUGUGUUAGUUUUGUCCCUGGCAUGCUAGUGAGUAGAGAUGGCAUAAGUUAAGAUCCAAGAUUAAUGUUAAAGAUAGAACUGGAGGGAGAUUAAUUUCUUUAAUUGUGGAUACAAAAAGGAAAACUUCUUAACACCCCUGAAAAGGGUUUUAGAGACAUAAUAAUCACAAUCACAUCUCAUUACAGCUCAAAUUCGUCACAGCAAUCUAAAGAUAAAAAUCAAUGUAAAAAUGUUUAAUCAAUGGAAAAUGCUCUAUAAAUGUGAAAGGGCAGUUUAGUUUAUAUUUUACCAUGAACAUGUAUAGAAGACAAAUUUAGUAUACCCGAUCAAUUUUCCAAGUCUAAAUUAAAGGUUUUUAGAAAUAUAUUCAGCAUAUAUAAUUGCUGGUCUCCAAAUGUGGAGGACCAGGGUGAAGCUAUGAAUCAGCCUAUAGCCAUAGCUGUAAACUUGGAGAUUCUGAGCCUUAGUAGUCUUAUGUAUUUGGUUAUGUUCCUGCCAAGCAUCUUGCUAUGGGCUGUAGAAACCUUGUGGGUUCUAUUUUCUAAUUUGUUGCUAAUGGUACCUUGAUCCAAACAGCCACUCAGGUCAGAAUUUGGAGAUGCUUCCCAUGUCUGUUCUUUCCCUUUUAUAUCCAAUUGGUAACCAUUUUGUUCUACCUAUAUAAUAUAUGUAUUUAUUUUUGCCCAUUUUCUGUCUCUUUUUUUGCAUUUUAUUUUAUUUUUUAAUAUAAUAAUUUUUUUUUCCAUUAUAGCUCAUUUACAGUGUUCUGUCAAUUUUCUACUGUAGAGAAUGGUGACCCAGUUACACAAACAUAUAUAUACAUUCUUUUUUCUCACAUUAUCAUGCUCCAUCAUAAGUGACCAGACAUAGUUCCAUUUUCUAAGGUCCACAGGCAUCUUUCAUCACUUGGACUAUAACUAUACAGUUUCAUCUAUUCUUAACAAAUUUACAAGACUCAAAGCUUCCCCACAUCCUUUUGGUCCUUUUUUUAAAAAGCCCAUUAUUUAUAAAGGUUUCUUAAGCAUGUUGGGAUCACAUAUGCUACUAUAAUCAAGAAAAUAAUGCCUCUCCCAAUGUGCUGAUAUGAAAAGAAAGCAAGGAUAAUUCAGUUAAAAAUGAAAUUGCCUUGGAGUUCCCAUUGUGGCUCUGUGGUUAACAAAUCCGACUAGGAACCAUGAGGUUGUGGGUUUGAUCCCUGGCCUCCCUCAUGGGUUAAGGAUUCAGCAUCUCCACAAGCUGCAGCAUAGUUUGCAAAUGUGCCUUGGAUCCAGUGUUGCUAUGGCAGGGGUGUAGGCCUGUAGCUGCAGCUCUAAUUGACCCCUGGCCUGAGAACUUCCAUAUGCCACAGGGAUGGCCCUAAAAGAAAAAAAAUAUCAAUUUGCAGAAAACCAUGAACCAUGAAGUUAGUUCACCAGACAUGAAGCUCAAUAAACAUUGACUGAAUUAAUAUGUGAUUACCUAAAUAACCCAUAAUCCUUCUAAAUAAUUGCCUUUGUCCUAGCUCCUUCCUCUUCUCAGAUGGAAUGGUCUUCAAUUUCUCUGGUGUGCUCUUAUUUAUCUCAAAUCUCAAACUAAGUAUUAUGUCUGUGGGGAUGUCUUCUCUUAUUCCACAAGGAUCCCAGCAGCAUUGUGUACAAAUGCGUUUCCUGACAACCUAUUGAAUUCUAGGUCCUUGUGUAGCUUUUCCUUCAUAACACUUAUCAGCAGUCAGUAUUACGUAUUUGCUUAUUUAUUGACAAGUUACUUGUCUUUCCCAGGGAAGGUUAACUCCAUAUGUUCAAGGACUUAAUAUAUUUUACUUAUGGUUGAAUCCUUAUUGUCUAGAGCAAUACCUGAUCCAUUUAAAGCAUUUCAUAUAAUAUGUACUGAAUAAAUCUCUAUUAGCACUUAUUAUUUUUAUAUGUCACUUCAUUAAAUUAGAAGUCUUUUAUUUAUUUUUAUUUUUAUUUAUAUUUUUGCUUUUUAGGGCCACACCUAUGGUUAUGGAAGUUUCCAGGCUAGGAGUCUAAUUGGAGCUGCAACUGCCAGUCUCUGCCACAGUCACAGCAACAUAGGAUCUGAGCCACAUCUGUGACUACACCACAGCUCAUGUUAAUGCUGGAUCCUUAACCCACUGGGCAAGGCCAGGGAUCAAACCAUGUCUUCAUGGAUACUAGUUGGGUUUGUUACCACUGAGCCACAACAGGAACUCCAGAAGUCCUUUAUUUUUUAAUUAAAUUUAUUUUUAUUAGGGUAUAGUUGAUUUAGUGUUGAGUCAAUUUCUGCUGUACAGCAUAGUGACCCAGUCAUAUAUAUAUGACUUUUUUCUCAUAUUAUCUUCCAUUAUGUUCUAUCCCAAGAGAGUGGAUGUAUUUCCCUCUGCUGUACAGUAGGACCUCAUUGCUUAUCCAUUCUAAAUUUGAUAGCUUGCAUCUACCAACCCCAAUUUCCCCAUCCAUCCCACUUCCCCCUGACCCCUUGGCAACCACAAU